rnacentral:rRNA from 1 species
GACGGAGGAUGCAAGCGUUAUCCGGAAUGAUUGGGCGUAAAGCGUCCGCAGGUGGCAGUUCAAGUCUGCUGUCAAAGACCGGGGCUUAACUUCGGAAAGGCAGUGGAAACUGAACAGCUAGAGUAUGGUAGGGGCAGAGGGAAUUCCUGGUGUAGCGGUGAAAUGCGUAGAGAUCAGGAAGAACACCGGUGGCGAAGGCGGGUCUCUGGGCCGAUACUGACGCUGAGGAGCGAAAGCGUGGGGAGCGAACAGG